UACGGAGGGUGCAAGCGUUAUCCGGAUUCACUGGGUUUAAAGGGUGCGUAGGUGGGUUUGUAAGUCAGCGGUGAAAUCUCCGAGCUUAACUCGGAAACUGCCAUUGAUACUAUAGAUCUUGAAUUUUCUGGAGGUAAGCGGAAUAUGUCAUGUAGCGGUGAAAUGCUUAGAUAUGACAUAGAACACCAAUUGCGAAGGCAGCUUGCUACAGGGACAUUGACACUGAGGCACGAAAGCGUGGGGAUCAAACAGG
rnacentral:rRNA from 1 species